UUUUUGCAAAUGAUUCUAACAUUUUCGAAAACAUGCUACUCAGGUACUUCCAUUUUUUAUAAUAAUUUCAGAAUAUUUAUAAUAUUUUUGAAUUAUUUGAAACUAAUUGGAAAAUAUUAGAAAUAUGAUUAAAAAACCCGCACGGUGACUUGGAAUGGACUCUAUAGACAUGCGAUGUAAUCUUAGCCAAUGAUUCGUCAUUUAUAAUCAUCUGAGAGACUAUCAUUAAAUUGCACGUUCUCGACAAACAUCCUAGUAUUUCUUCUUCAGGUUGUAAUCUUCCCCGCCAACCUCUGCUUGGAGAGCACAGAUCGUUCUCAUCAAGCCGCCGCUGGACGCACCCUCAUCCUCCGAGACAACCGAUGUCUACAUCUUCGGUCCUGAGACAUCCGUUACCGGUCCCGGUGGAGCUGUAGGCAGGGGCCAGAAAGUGAGCCUGCGCAUUGUGCCUGUGUACAUGCAGCGACCCACGGCCAAGAAUGGUCAUAACGGGGCACACGGCGGCCAACGGGCACCGUCUCUUCCGUUCCUGAUCCAGGGAAGCUGACCACUGAUGGACCUGACACGUCAGCCACCCAUCCAUCUGGCCCGGGAUGUACUUCCCCGGGCACUUUCUCUCCUUCCCUUGCAUUACGGAGCAGACCGUCCACGUCAAGCCACCGCCGGACACACCCUCCGCCACCGCCGGACACACCCUCCAUCCCCCGAAACAACCAACGUCUACAUCCCCGGCCCUGAGACAUCCAUUGCCGGUCCUGGGAGAGCUGUGAGGCCAGUCACACCGCCUGAGACCGAUGACCGGCAGUCCGGGCACAGCUGAUGUGACGAAGCCAAUGUGAACGUGCUCUUCGAUGUCCAGUAUAAGGACGCAAAAGACAAUACAGUCCGCAUGAUCGAUACAAAAUGUCAUAAUGUCUGAAGACAUUAGCCAGAGGACCACCCCUUGACCAAAUUGUUUGAUUGUCUGGAUCCAUCAUAUGUCCUAGUACAAGGACAGUAACA